rnacentral:misc_RNA from 1 species
CCUGAAGUUUUCUGGGCCCCUGCCCCGCUCAAUGCUAAAUCAUGGGCAGAUGUCGAGGAUGAAGAUGAUGACGAUUACUUUGCUACCACUGCCCCACCUCAGGCCGUUUGGGGUUCCUCAGAGCCACAUCAAAGUGACGAUAAGCCCACCAACAUAGAGGAAAGUGAGAGUGAAGAAGAUAUUUUAGAUGAAGGUGAUGAUGA